AACGCAACUGGCGCCGGAUUACCCGCAUGACUGUUUCAGUGUGUUAGGGGAGUAAAAUAUCAUUAUAAAAUAUAAUGCGAUUGAGGAACAUUUAUGUUCUUCUUUCGUUAAAUAUGAAGGUGUGUAAGAUGAGUAAUCUCUACCACUGGCCAACGAAGUAGUCAUGCUUGUUCGUGAUCUCAUUUAUCCAGUGCUACUGGUUUUUGCUUAGCUAUAAAUCACAUCUAAUCAAUUCAUUAUCUCCAAAUUUGGCAUGUGAAAUCAGACAAGCUUACCCGCUGAACUUAA
rnacentral:misc_RNA from 1 species